rnacentral:rRNA from 1 species
GGAUCCAGACUUUGAUUAUGGCUCAGAUUGAACGCUGGCGGCAGGCCUAACACAUGCAAGUCGAGCGGAAACGGCAACAUUGACUCUUCGGAUGAUUUGUUGGACGUCGAGCGGCGGACGGGUGAGUAAUGCUUAGGAAUUUGCCCAGUCGAGGGGGAUAACUAUUGGAAACGAUAGCUAAUACCGCAUACGCCCUACGGGGGAAAAGAGGGGACCUUCGGGCCUUCUGCGAUUGGAUAAGCCUAAGUGAGAUUAGCUAGUUGGUGAGGUAAUGGCUCACCAAGGCGACGAUCUCUAGCUGGUCUGAGAGGAUGAUCAGCCACACUGGAACUGAGACACGGUCCAGACUCCUACGGGAGGCAGCAGUGGGGAAUAUUGCACAAUGGGCGCAAGCCUGAUGCAGCCAUGCCGCGUGUGUGAAGAAGGCCUUCGGGUUGUAAAGCACUUUCAGCAGUGAGGAAGGUGGUAGUGUUAAUAGCACUAUCAUUUGACGUUAGCUGCA